rnacentral:lncRNA from 1 species
UCCUGUAAAAAAAAUAAGAGAAAGCAUCAAUUUCUAAAGAAUAAAAAUGAAUUAAUCUACAAAUUGAUGCUUCUAUUGAUAUAUUUGUGGUACUUAUCACCUUUUCGAUUUGAGACUUCAUACCAAAAAUCAGAGAGAAUGGAAUACUAAGAUUGAAGCCCUUGAAGAUUGAUCUCAGUGAUUGACGAUGCCUCUCCCCUAGGCUUGAAAGAACUUCGGUGCCCAAAUGAAGAAGCACCUAUGGUAGUGGCUCAAGAACCUACCUUAGACCUAGACUAGGGGGCACGUGGUUGAGAGUCUCGACUGUCUCUAUUUAUGCCCCCAUCCUCCCUAUCGAAAGGCAUUGCAAAGAACAAGUCCAAAAAAAGGAAAGAAGAAAGACAAACUGAUACUAUGAAAGGGACAAGAGAACCAAUCGAAAAGUGAGAUUCUGGACAGGAUGAGCUCCAAAAGAAUUAGAGUACUCGCCAGAGCCGAAGAGAAAGGUGGAACACAUGGUUGUAGGAAGGGAGCGUAGAGAGGAACUGGCGACCAAGAAAAUAGAGAUAGUGGGGAGGGGGCAAGGCUACUUAAACUAUUCCCCAAUGGUCCCGAUCAAAGUUCCAUCCCAUC